UAACUAAUCCACUUAAAAAUAUUUCAUCUGAAAUCAACCUUAUCCAUGCCAUUUGUCCACACAAAUAAAAAGGCCAUGCCCUAUUUAUUUUAGACGUUAAGAAGGAGGAGUCCUUAAAUACUCUUUUUAAUUUCCUUCUUAUCUAUUCCACGCAUUCCUUUAUUUUUUGCACCAUCAGAUGGUGCCUUGAGAUAUUUGGGCACAGAAGAGAAGGAAGCAUCUUUCUUUAUAAAGGAACUAAUAUGCCAAAAAUAAAUUGGGACACCACAUAUUUUGUUUGAUGAGAUUGGAAGAGGCCAUCUCAUUUAAAACUCUUAAUUACCUUCCUAUCUCCUUAUUUUUCCAUGCUAAUUCCUAAGGGUGGUGGCAUCAGAUGGCACCUUGGGUGGUGCAUGCAGAGGAGAGUCCUUCUACUGAUUAAAACUCCAACAAACUCUCCUUAAUUGGAAUUAAUCACCAGUGAACAUAAUGAGAUGCCAAUUGUUGGUGUCCCUUAAAGGCACCCUUUCUUUCUUAUUUAAAGGGGGCAUCUCCCAUGUGAUAAGAAUGGAAUUUCUCUGAUGGUUAGAUGUGGAAAUGAAGAGAGAAAAGAUAAAAAAA
rnacentral:lncRNA from 1 species